rnacentral:rRNA from 1 species
GACGAACGCUGGCGGCGUGCUUAACACAUGCAAGUCGAACGCUGAAGCUCAGCUUUUGUUGGGUGGAAGAGUGGCGAACGGGUGAGUAACACGUGAGUAACCUGCCUCCUUCUUUGGGAUAACGCCCGGAAACGGGUGCUAAUACUGGAUAUUCACUGGUCUUCGCAUGGGGGUUGGUGGAAAGGGUUUUUCUGGUGGGGGAUGGGCUCGCGGCCUAUCAGCUUGUUGGUGGGGUGAUGGCCUUCCAAGGCUUUGACGGGUAGCCGGCCUGAGAGGGUGACCGGUCACAUUGGGACUGAGAUACGGCCCAGACUCCUACGGGAGGCAGCAGUGGGGAAUAUUGCACAAUGGGCGCAAGCCUGAUGCAGCGACGCCGCGUGAGGGAUGGAGGCCUUCGGGUUGUGAACCUCUUUCGCUCAUGGUCAAGCCGCAACAAUGGUUGUGGUGAGGGUAGUGGGUAAAGAAGCGCCGGCUAACUACGUG